AUUUUGCACCUUAGCGCUACGUAGCGCUAAAUGUAGCAAAAAGAAAUACACCUAGUAGUAGUAUUUCUUUUUGCUACAUGUAGCGCUACGUAGCGCUACGGUGGCAAAAU
rnacentral:pre_miRNA from 1 species